AUUGAACGCUGGCGGCAUGCUUUACACAUGCAAGUCGGACGGCAGCGCGGGCUUCGGCCUGGCGGCGAGUGGCGAACGGGUGAGUAAUGCAUCGGAACGUGCCCAGUAGUGGGGGAUAGCCCGGCGAAAGCCGGAUUAAUACCGCAUACGACCUGAGGGUGAAAGCGGGGGACCGAAAGGCCUCGCGCUAUUGGAGCGGCCGAUGUCGGAUUAGCUAGUUGGUGGGGUAAAGGCUUACCAAGGCGACGAUCCGUAGCUGGUCUGAGAGGACGACCAGCCACACUGGGACUGAGACACGGCCCAGACUCCUACGGGAGGCAGCAGUGGGGAAUUUUGGACAAUGGGGGCAACCCUGAUCCAGCCAUGCCGCGUGCGGGAAGAAGGCCUUCGGGUUGUAAACCGCUUUUGUUCGGGAAGAAAUCCUCUGGGCUAAUACCCCGGGGGGAUGACGGUACCGGAAGAAUAAGCACCGGCUAACUACGUG
rnacentral:rRNA from 1 species